rnacentral:lncRNA from 1 species
AUAGUUCUCAUAGUUCUAACCAUUAAUUUCCAGCCCUGCUCUCAUCCAUAAUGCUUGCUUUUUGCUUCCAUCAGAUGCUUCGAGGACAAAUCAGACCUGAGGAUUCUGAACAGGCUCCAUGGAAAAGUCCCUGUUCCAGAGGCCUAGCUGUCACAAUCCUGAUUUCUAUACCUCUUCAGUCUAGAUGCUUGCAUCGCAGGGAGACAAGAACAGGUGGAGUGCCCACACUGCAGUCUCCAGACGCAGCAGAUUUCCUUGCUCAGCUGCUUCAUUUCACCUCAGGCAAACUCUGCUCUCCAGCCCAGCAUUUCUACUGCUCAGUCAGGCUGCCCUCCCCUUUGAAAAUUAUACAAGGUCUUGGACAGCCCAAUCCUUGUGCCUCAGCUUUAAGAGGUCCAGUCGGCACCCCCCGGCCUUCCACUGCCUUUUCAUUCUCAGGUGGCUCUCCCAGGUCCACAGGAUUCUUGGUGGAGAGCAACAGCCAAAGGCUCUCUAUAACUUGAAGAGAAAGAACAAUUCACUGAAAGCCUGUCAGGCAAGUAAAUGACAAGAAUUAAUGGAAAGACUCGUAGAAAACAUAAUACAGAAUUUUGUGGGAGUGUUUUUUUUUUCUAGUUACAAGGAAAUGAGGUCAUGUUGCCUCUUUGAUAUUAGUUCAAUUAAAAGCCAAGUCAUCCUGCAGUUCCGUGAGAUCAUAAAAUAAGAGCCUUCCUAGACUUUAGAUGCAGCCGGAAAAAGCUGCACUAGGUUCAGACCCAGGUAGGAACCAAGCAAGAAGCAAGAGUAACUCUGUUAUUUUCUUACAAUGGGAACCAACUAUGGAGGGUUGCCACUGUGAACACGUUAUUCUUGGAUGCUUGGCACCACUGUCUGCAGAGCUCGGUUUCCUCUGGUAUCACUGAGAAUAAUGUCUUAGCUAUCUCUGUUGUCUGUGACUUUACAUGGGAAAAUCUGGCUGGUUUAAUAAAACAGGAUGCUCUAUGGUUUAAUGGUAGAAG